rnacentral:rRNA from 1 species
GACGAACCACACAAACGUUAUUCGGAAUUACUGGGCUUAAAGGGUGCGUAGGCGGCGCAGCAAGUAGGGUGUGAAAUCCCUCGGCUCAACCGAGGAACUGCGCCCUAAACUACUGUGCUCGAGGGAGGUAGAGGUGAGCGGAACUUAGGGUGGAGCGGUGAAAUGCGUUGAUAUCCUAAGGAGCACCGGUGGCGAAAGCGGCUCACUGGACCUCUUCUGACGCUGAGGCACGAAAGCUAGGGUAGCGAACGGG